AAUUGGAGGGCAAGUCUGGUGCCAGCAGCCGCGGUAAUUCCAGCUCCAAUAGCGUAUAUUAAAGUUGUUGCAGUUAAAAAGCUCGUAGUUGAAUUUCGGGAUCAAUAUUUCGGUCAUGCCGUUGGUAUGCACUGUUAUCAUUGAUUUCUCACCUUCUAAAGAACCGUAAUGCCAUUAAUUUGGUGUUACGGGGAAUUAGGACUGUUACCUUGAAAAAAUUAGAGUGUUUAAAGCAGGCUCACGCUUGAAUACAUUAGCAUGGAAUAAUGAAAUAGGACAUCCGAUUCUAUUUUGUUGGCUUCUAGGAUCGAUGUAAUGAUUAAUAGGGAUAGUUGGGGGCAUUAGUAUUCAAUUGUCAGAGGUGAAAUUCUUGGAUUUAUUGAAGACUAACUACUGCGAAAGCAUUUGCCAAGGAUGUUUUCAUUAAUCAAGAACGAAAGUUAGGGGAUCGAAGACGAUCAGAUACCGUCGUAGUCUUAACCAUAAACUAUGCCGACUAGGGAUCGGAUGAUGUUAAUUUUUUAAUGACUCAUUCGGCGCCUUACGGGAAACCAAAGUGU
rnacentral:rRNA from 1 species